CUGGAGUGAGGACAGAAGCUGUGAAAGAAGAUGAAGAGCGCAAGGGAAGGCAGAGAUCAGGGGGAGGAUUCAUCAGUAAAAGUGUAAUAACAUUUUCCUGCUGAGAUCUCUCCCGCUGCCAGUUAGAAGGAAUUUGGUAUCUGAAUGCACAAUAACUCUAGUUCCGCCCACAUCCAUUUAUACAGAAAAGUAUGAAAACAAUGCCAAUUGGUAAUCAGAUAAAUUUCUUUUUCUGCUUAC
rnacentral:lncRNA from 1 species